rnacentral:rRNA from 1 species
UACGUAGGGUGCGAGCGUUGUCCGGAAUUAUUGGGCGUAAAGAGCUCGUAGGCGGUUUGUCGCGUCUGCUGUGAAAACCCGAGGCUCAACCUCGGGCCUGCAGUGGGUACGGGCAGACUAGAGUGCGGUAGGGGGAGAUCGGAAUUCCUGGUGUAGCGGUGAAAUGCGCAGAUAUCAGGAGGAACACCGGUGGCGAAGGCGGAUCUCUGGGCCGUAACUGGACGCUGGAGGAGCGAAAGCA